rnacentral:rRNA from 1 species
AGUGAACGCUGGCGGUAGGCCUAACACAUGCAAGUCGAACGGCAGCACAGUAAGAGCUUGCUCUUACGGGUGGCGAGUGGCGGACGGGUGAGGAAUACAUCGGAAUCUACUUUUUCGUGGGGGAUAACGUAGGGAAACUUACGCUAAUACCGCAUACGACCUACGGGUGAAAGCAGGGGAUCUUCGGACCUUGCGCGAAUGAAUGAGCCGAUGUUGGAUUAGCUAGUUGGCGGGGUAAAGGCCCACCAAGGCGACGAUCCGUAGCUGGUCUGAGAGGAUGAUCAGCCACACUGGAACUGGGACACGGUCCAGACUCCUACGGGAGGCAGCAGUGGGGAAUAUUGGACAAUGGGCGCAAGCCUGAUCCAGCCAUACCGCGUGGGUGAAGAAGGCCUUCGGGUUGUAAAGCCCUUUUGUUGGGAAAGAAAAGCAGCAGGUUAAUACCCCGCUGUUCUGACGGUACCCAAAGAAUAAGCACCGGCUAACUUCGUG